UACGUAGGGUGCAAGCGUUAAUCGGAAUUACUGGGCGUAAAGCGUGCGCAGGCGGCUUUGCAAGACAGAUGUGAAAUCCCCGGGCUCAACCUGGGAACUGCAUUUGUGACUGCAAGGCUAGAGUACGGUAGAGGGGGAUGGAAUUCCGCGUGUAGCAGUGAAAUGCGUAGAUAUGCGGAGGAACACCGAUGGCGAAGGCAAUCCCCGUGGACCUGUACUGACGCUCAUGCACGAAAGCGUGGGGAGCAAACGAGG
rnacentral:rRNA from 1 species